rnacentral:ribozyme from 13 species
CAAAAAAAAAAAAAAAAAAAAAAAAAAAAAAAAAAAAAAAAAA